UUUUGUUGACACGUCUGCUCUUGGGAAUGAAUUCCUAAGCACCAGCCUACACUGGCUCAACAGGCUCAACUCUGCACCAGCAAUUUCUCUUGUCAGGAAAGAAAGCACAAUCAAAAAUAUAAGAAGAGAUUGCUCCUCCUUUUGAUGCAGUAAGCAGAGCUGAUUGAAGGUUUCAGAAUACCUUUGUUUCGUUUGUUUGCUGGAAAGCCAAACUGGUUGUGCAUAAAAGGAAUUCACUUAGAACUCAGUGAAUCAUAGAAUAUUCUGAGUUGUAGUGGACCUAUGAAGAUCACUGAGACCAACUCCUGGCCCUGCACAGGUCACCCCAAGAUCAUGGGUCUGAGAGUGUUGUCCAAACACUUCUUGACCUUUGUCAGGCUUGGUGCUGUGACCACUUCUCUGGAGAGCCUGUUCCAGUGCCCAACCAUCCUCUGGGUGAGAACUGUCUCCUGAUAUCCCACCUAAAUCUCCUCUGGCACAGCUUCACACCAUUCCCUUGGGUCCUGUCAGUGGUCACCAGAGAGAAGAGAUCAG